CCCGAGGGCCAGCCAGGCACCCAGGCCUGUCCUCCUGGGCAAAGGACUCCUGCCCAGUUACCUCCCAUCCCAACCUGACUGCAUCCCAAGAGGAAGAAGGCCACUUCAGAGAAGUUGCCAGACAGGAUGGACCUCAAGGCCCUGCUCUGUGACCUUGGACAGCCUCUUUUGCCUCCCUGGCCAUUUCCACUGCCGGGAGAGGGGGGCAUGGCCCAAGUCCACUCUCAAGGCUCAGAGCCCCAGGUCCCCCUCCUCUCUAGAAGUUUUGGGUUCUCCACAAUGUCCCCUAGAAGGAGGCUGGUGCGGGGACUCCAGGUGUGCGCCCGGAUGAUAAGGACCCUCAAUAAAAAGAAAAUGGACCUGGGGUCACGAGGACCCAGGAAGCCCUGAUGGUUGGGCAUGAGGUCCUCGCCACACGUCGGCCCGGGGGAGAUGCCAGGACGGCAGGGCCCAGGCCUCCAGUCGGUUCCCACCCCCUGUAACAGCAACUCCAUGUGGAAGUGCCCGCUGGUUCCAGUGGGGCUGCUGUUAUCGGGGACGGGGGCCAGUGCCCGCGGAGGAGGA